GCGAUGUUCGUACAUGUAAGCGUAACACAACGUCGCGAAUAUUUCGUAACGUUCAAGGCAAAACAUCGACUAGAACGUUGUUUUUAAGCAAGUGCGACAUUCUUGUAAGACUCCGCAAAAUCGACGGGACUGUUUAACUUCUUAUUGAAAAUUGAUGUAUUUUACAUUUUUGAAAAGUUAAGAAAAAUAACAUUUAAAAAAAUAAUAAAAUUCUACCAUUAUACGAGCACU
rnacentral:lncRNA from 1 species